rnacentral:rRNA from 1 species
CCCUUAGAUGUUCUGGGCCGCACGCGCGCUACACUGACGAAUGCAACGAGCUUAUAACCUUGGCCGAAAGGUCUGGGUAAUCUCCAAAUUUCGUCGUGAUGGGGAUAGAUUAUUGCAAUUAUUAGUCUUGAACGAGGAAUUCCUAGUAAGCACAAGUCAUCAGCUUGUGUUGAUUACGUCCCUGCCCUUUGUACACACCGCCCGUCGCUCCUACCGAUUGAAUGUUCCGGUGAGCUCUUCGGACUGCGCGGUCUGCAGUUUCUGCGUUCCGUGCGGAAAGUUGCGCAAACCUUAACAUUUAGAGGAAGGAGAAGUCGUAACA